rnacentral:rRNA from 1 species
UACAGAGGGUGCGAGCGUUGUCCGGAAUCACUGGGCGUAAAGGGCGCGUAGGCGGCUUUUCAAGCGUGCGGUGAAAGCUCGGGGCUUAACUCCGAGUCUGCCGUGCGAACUGGGAGGCUUGAGUCUGGUAGAGGUCGAUGGAAUUCCCGGGGUGUAGCGGUGGAAUGCGUAGAGAUCCGGAAGAACACCGGUGGCGAAGGCGGUCGACUGGGCCAGUACUGACGCUGAGGCGCGACAGCG